UACGGGGGGAGCAAGCGUUGUUCGGAUUUACUGGGCGUAAAGGGCGGGUAGGCGGCCACCGCAAGUCAGUUGUGAAAUCUCUGGGCUUAACCCAGAAAGGUCAACUGAUACUGCGGGGCUAGAGUGCAGAAGGGGCAACUGGAAUUCUCGGUGUAGCGGUGAAAUGCGUAGAUAUCGAGAGGAACACCAAUAGCGAAGGCAGCUCGCUGGGACGUUACUGACACUGAGGCGCGAAAGCGUGGGGAGCGAACAGG
rnacentral:rRNA from 1 species